rnacentral:rRNA from 1 species
GGAGAGGGCUAGCGUUAUUCGGAAUUAUUGGGCGUAAAGGGCGCGUAGGCGGAUUAGUAAGUUAAAAGUGAAAUCCCAAGGCUCAACCUUGGAAUUGCUUUUAAAACUGCUAAUCUAGAGAUUGAAAGAGGAUAGAGGAAUUCCUAGUGUAGAGGUGAAGUUCGUAAAUAUUAGGAGGAACACCAGUGGCGAAGGCGUCUAUCUGGUUCAAAUCUGACGCUGAGGCGCGAAGGCGUGGGGAGCAAACAGGAUUAGAUACCCUGGUAGUCCACGCUGUAAACGAUGAAUGUUAAAUAUGGGGAGUUUACUUUCUGUAUUACAGCUAACGCGUUAAACAUUCCGCCUGGGGACUACGGUCGCAAGAUUAAAACUCAAAGGAAUUGACGGGGACCCGCACAAGCGGUGGAGCAUGUGGUUUAAUUCGAUGCAACGCGAAAAACCUUACCACUCCUUGACAUGGAAAUUAUACCUAUUCGAAGGGAUAGGGUCGGUUCGGCCGGGUUUCACACAGGUGU